rnacentral:rRNA from 1 species
CCUACGGGUGGCAGCAGUGAGGAAUAUUGGUCAAUGGGCGCGAGCCUGAACCAGCCAAGUCGCGUGAGGGAAGACGGUCCUAUGGAUUGUAAACCUCUUUUGCCGGGGAGCAAAAGACGCCACGCGUGGCGUUCCGAGAGUACCCGAAGAAAAAGCAUCGGCCAACUCCGUGCCAGCAGCCGCGGUAAUACGGAGGAUGCGAGCGUUAUCCGGAUUUUUUGGGUUUAAAGGGUGCGCAGGCGGAAGAUCAAGUCAGCGGUAAAAUUGAGAGGCUCAACCUCUUCGAGCCGUUGAAACUGGUUUUCUUGAGUGAGCGAGAAGUAUGCGGAAUGCGUGGUGUAGCGGUGAAAUGCAUAGAUAUCACGCAGAACUCCGAUUGCGAAGGCAGCAUGCCGGCGCUCAACUGACGCUCAUGCACGAAAGUGUGGGUAUCGAACAGGAUUAGAUACCCCUGUAGUC